ensembl:lncRNA
AUUUGCCACAGCUCAUUAAAGGGUGAGACAUUUUUCCCCAGAUGUAAUAAACUAACUUUGCUGGCUGAUAUGUGUCUGAGAAUAGCUUCUGUUCUAUCUAUUGGCUGUUUCCACUGAGUAUACCCGAAUAAGAGUGUUACUGCAGAAAACCCUGCACAUCUGUGCAAAAACUAAGAUUUCAGGUGUUGCCUAUGGUGUUGUGAUAAUGGAGAGACUUCCACAAGCUGUGCUUCAUGUGGCUGCAGAAGUGCCAACCAUCAGCUGAUCUUUAACUUGUCUGAAUUGAUGCUGUUUUCCCUUUUAGAAUCCAAGGAGCUUUAGCACUAAAAUAGUUCAGUUCAGGGAGAAAUGCUUUUAUUUUUCUUUUCAGAGUUAUCAGAACAUUGUCUCUUUUUCUUUUUGGUCUGCUCAGAACAUUUUGAACCAACAUUACCUCAGUGCAUACUGAAUGACUGCAUUAUCUGGUACUAUUAACUCUGCAGUUUUUGUGCUUUGCUGUUUGGGAAAUUGCCUUGGGAAUGCAAACACUGCAGCUGAGUGACAGGCCUUUAUCACCUUCUCCACCUCCUACUAUCCAGCUGGCUGCUUAAGGGACUUCAGAGUUUCUGCUUCAAUGGAUGGCAAAUACCUUUGCAGCACUUGUGCUCCACCCUUGCCUCCAGAAGAAAUACAGAGCAUUACAUUUCAGAUAACCUCCACUAAGCUUGAUAAUCUGCAUUUGAAUAAAGAUCAUUGGCUAAUACUUGUUUCCGGUAAACCUAAUCUUCACUAGAAGACACCAGAAGACAGAGAAUCUAUCACUUUCAUUGUGCUUGUUACCAAGCUUACAGAGUUGAAGGUGAGACUGGGAUUACUGUAAGCCACGUGUAUGGGAACUGUUGAAUUACGGUCUGAAUCUCUGAUUGACCACCUGAGGCAAGCACUGAGUCAGUCACAGGAGCACAGAUGAAGGCAAUUUGUCUGUGUGACCGGAAGGGAUGGAGCCAGGCUCCACCUCUCCUAAACCCCAUGUAAGGGCUGACUGCCACUAAAGAAGGAUUUUUUCCUGGAGAUUGCUCCUUGGGGAGUUUUUGUGAGCCUACAACACCAGUGACCGGCUCUCCCCUUGGCAGUCUCUGAGACCACAGGUUUUAAACAGUCUCCACCAGAGAGUGGACUUGCUCCAAGAAGACCGCGGCGACUCAGAUGGAGGGCCUGCUCAGAAAUGUAGCUGUUCAGGCCUCCGGCUGCAGGGAGCGUCCUAGCCCGCUGAUGCUGAGGGAGGGUGGCAGGGAUUCCACCUGCAUGAGGUAUGAGCAGAUGGAUGAGCUGCUCAGCCUGGUGGUGGAGCUCAAGGAGAAGGUGAAGAGACUAAGGACCAUCAGGGAGUGUGAGCGGGAGACUGACUGGUGGUGUGACUUGCUGGCGUGCCAGAGGGAAGGAUGCCAGGUUUAAUAUCCCUGGAAAAGUGGUGGACCCCCUGCCCUGUCACAGUUGGACAGACUUGACAGAUGAGGAAGGUUGGAAGAACUCAGUGUCAUGCGCGCCCCUCCUGCCAGCCUACCCUUCUUGCCCAGGUACUACUAAGCAAUAGGUUUGAGUUGCUGGAAAUUGAAGGGGAAGUGAGUGGGGAGGCGAGGGAGGAUCUGCCUAGGAGGGAGCCUAAGGUGAGGCAGUCACCGUCACGCCUUGAGACUGCCUCUGUCAGGAAAGAAAGAAGAGUGGUCAUGGAUGGGCGACUCCUUUCUCAGAGGAAUGGAGGGCUUCAUUUGCAGACUGGACCCAAGCCGUCGGGAAGUGUGCUGCCUUCCUGGGGCCUGGGUCAGGGACAUAACUAGGAAACUCCCAAAGCUGGUUUGGUCUGAUGAUUAUUUUCCAUUAUUCGUAGUUCAGGUGGGCAGUGAUGAAAUCUCUCAGAGAAGCCUGCGAACUACAAAAAGAGAUUUCGGGGGUUGUGGGCAUUUAGUUCAAGAUGCAGGAGUGCAAAUGAUCUUUUGUUCUAUACUUUCAGGGGCAGUGAAGGACAUGGAGUGGGCUUGGAAAAUACAGGUAAUGAAUAAUAGGCUCAGAAGCUGGUGUCGAGGCAGGAACUUUGGGUUUUUGACCAAGGGGCUGUUCACUCAGCCUCUGGCCUGUUGUCCAUGGAUGGAACCCACCUACCUCAAAGGGGGAAAUGAAUCCUAGCACAGGAGCUAGUAGGGCUUAUAGAAAGAGCUUUAAACUAGCUAUGAUGGGGGAAGGGGGAAAAACAGGGCUCACCAGAGAUGAGCUAGGGGGAACAAUGCUUGAGCUGGGGGUGAGGCAGAUGACCCAGCUGAAGUUCAUCUACACCACUGCAUCAGCAUGGGCAACAAGCACAAGGAACUGUAAGCAAUAGUGUGGCAGGCUAACUAUGACCUAGCUGCUAUUACCAGAACGUGGUGGGACCACUCCCAUGACUGGAGUGCUGUGAUGGAUGGCUACAAGCUCUUCAGAAGGGAUAGACAAGGAAGGAAGCGUGGUGAUGUGACUCUUUAUAUUAAAGAGUGUUUUGAUGUUGAAGGCAGAUCAUCCCUCGCCUCCACACUCACCUCCCUUCAAUUUCCAGCAUCCAUCUCAAACCUUGCCUAUGGAUAAGGAUCAGGGGGAAGGCCUGUAGGGGCAACAUCUUUGUGGGGGUCUGUUAUAGACCUCCUAAUCAGAAUGAAGAGAAGGACUAGGCAUUCUAUGAACAGCUUGUGGAAGACAUGUGAUUGCCAGCCCUCGUUCUCAUGGCAGACUUCAAUUCCCUGAUACAUGUUGGAAAUAUAAUACGGCACAGAGGAAGCAGCAUAGGAGGUUUCCAGAGUGCAUGGAAGAUAGCUUCUUUGUAGUCUCCCCAAGUAGCCCUCUUGUAUGUAAUAAUCAGACUGGUACUAGAUUCAUUCUUUUCCUAUGUAAAAAUGAUUGUCCACACAAAAUUAUAAGCAGAAUGCUUUGGAUUCAAAUCAAUAUUCAGCAAAAUCUGGCUUGUCUGCAAAUUACCUGUGUGUAUAGGAGUAGACUUCCUUUGCAGGGAAGGAGUUUCAAAUUCUGAACAAAUGUAAGAACAACUCUUAUUUCUGUAGAGCACGUGCUCUGAGUAUCCAUAGUAGCACAUUUCAAAUCUGUACUUGCUUACAUUUUUCUCAUAUCCAGAGGGCAGACGACAAAACCCUCCAAAACACACACACACACACAAAUAAAGCAUUGGGAUAUUGUGGUACUGCAGACAGUAAAAAUCUGGUAAGGACUCAGUGUUCUGGCCAUGUGAAACAGAGAAGCUAAGUCUGUUCACAGCAGUGGGAGUAUGUCUACAGAAUGAAAUAGAGAUGUGAGCUCCUCCACACAAACUUCCUUGCACAUUCAUUUCAGAGCAGUUGUAACAGGAUACUUUUGAACAGAUGACUAUUGCUAGGUGGAGAACAUUCAGUACACCCUUGAGGAAUGUGGUCUAGUUCAUUUUCUUCCAAAAAGAAAUGGUCAAGGGGUCAAGGGACCCAAGUGAAGCAUGACCUGCAGGGAUGAUCAGAUGACAGACUUUAUUAAAAAAAAAAAAAAAAAAAAAAAAGUGUUCUUGUAAGCAUCUUGCCCAUAAGUCCAGCUAUUCUCAAACAAGUCCUUGACGUAUUCCUGUGAAUCACAUUUUCAAGAGAAGUCCUACUCUAAUCUCUAUUUUUAGGCCAUGAAAAAUGAACACAACCUUCUAGUUACUGUUGUUGAUGCAACUUAGGUCUUUUGAACCCAUCAGAGGACAACACAUCUGCAAUCAAGUGGAUAUCUAGAAGGCAUAUUGUGGUGCUAGUUGAUCACAGGUACAAAGUAUUACAAAAUCUUAGGUGUUUAACUCUUUCUACAGUCAGGUAACAUGGUAGGUUGAAAAAUAAAGUGAAGAAAGGAAAUAAGCAGCUUUAAUCUUACUUCUGCAUCAAGAGUCAAGCCCAAAAGAAGUACUUCUGCAAAUAAAAAACAGAAAUUUCUUCUUAACUUCAUCAAGGUGUAUAUAUGAACUUAUUCUAUGAAUUAAAAAUACUUUCCAUCUCUCUACCUUUUCCACAAAACCUCAAAUGCGUAUUCCAUGCACUGCUAAUAAUACUAGAAACUCAUAGGUUGCCCCUCCCAAAUUAUUUUCAUUAAAAAAAAAAAAAAAAAAAAGUGUGUUGAAUCUACAGGGUUUAUACUGACAAACUUGACAAACUACUUUUGUCUGCUCUGUUUGUGAUACCCACAUUCUAUGAAUGGAAAACACAAUAACAGAUUUCAGUAGGGACAGAAAGGUGCUUCAUGCCUAUAAUUUAGCUCAUUAAAAAUGUAUAAUUCACAUACUACUAGUAGUUCAAGGCAUUUACACUACUGAUGUUUCUAUAUUGGUAGGAACAUAUGUUAAGAUUAGGUAAGGUUGUCAACAAUAGAACUUACAAGUGGGUGGCAACUUGUUCUUUCCAGUUGAACACCGUGCCUGAAGUUGUCUAUACUGGGCAGUACUAGGGGAGAAAUUGUAUUCAGAAAGCAAUUCCUCAGAAGGAUAACAUCGUAUUAAACUUAGUUUUUAUCUUAGCACCUCCUUCCUGAGUGGAACUUGUCCCUUAAAAUAUUUUACUAGGGUAAUAAUACAAAUAUGAGCAUUUAAACAUAACAGUAUUAUCUACUGGUCACAUUUCUACAAAACGCAUGCUUUUUUCUAUUCUAUUCAUGCGUGGUCUGUUCUUAUAUUAUUGGCUUGAAAUAUCUUCUCCUUUCAUGAUGACCUUUGUCUGCACUUUAAUUCAAUUUAUCACUUACUGCAGAGUUUCCAGAAGUAGUUUUUCUAUUUGGAUGGAUGUAGAAUGCAGUCAGUUCAACUAAAUUUUAAGAUUGGAGGAAGCUAGCUACUACUGGCAGAGAUACCAAGUACUAGCUGAGCCUGGGUAUUGCCUGCCUCACCUGUGCUGAAGGAUAUAACUAAGGAGCAUGUUUUACGGAUCUCUGGAUUCUAUGAGGGCUGCUUCUAAAGUAAUGCCUCUUAUUUUGGCCUGUGAUGUCAGAGGUGAAUGUUGGUGCUAUGCAGUAAACACUGAAUCUUUCCACCAAUAUUCUGCUGAAUCUUGUUGCUGAGCAACAGAUGGCAGCAGAGGGACAGUGUGACAAAAUGGUGUCUCUCAUAAAAGAGCGAGUAGCAAAGAUAAAUUUCUUAAUGUGAGGAAGAAAACUGCACUUGUUGACAUUCACUGAUACUUGCUGAACAUGUAUGGAGGCUAAACAGUGGAUGUGAGUGCACUGAGGUGGUGGAUGAUGUGAUUCAGAAGUGGUGACAGUGCAUUACCAGAUACAUAGUGGUGCAUAUGCACUGGGGCAGGAAGUAGAUUUUUUUAUGGCCAAGGUCAACUGAAAUGAAGUAAUUUUGGAUUUGUUAUAUAUGCUUGUUUUCAAGAGGGACAGUAUAUCAAAACAUAGGUGUCAAUUAGCAGUAUUUGAAGUGUAAAAUUCAGUAGACUGGAUAAAGAGACAUUGCCAAGAAAGGAAAAAUUGAAAGGGAAAAGAAAAAUGAAACAUAUUUUAAGAAGCAGUGUCUGUUUGCAUGCCACCGAAUUAAAAGAAGUGGAGAGAUUGAGCAGGAGUUUACAGAGCCACUCGUACAGAAGUGUGGACUGCUGCAGAGUAUUACUCUAGAACACAAAAAUUACUCCAGGUAAGUAUGUCAGUAGUUCUACUUUCCCUCUCCAGCAAUUCAUAUAGCAAUGCAAAGCACACUUAAGCAGCAAGUAAAUUACUACAUCACUGAUGAUAAUGUUGGCACGAGUCCCUCCUGUCCAAGAUGCAAGGAGCUGGGGUGCUUUCUGUGGUUAGAGUCAUCUCAAGAAUUCCUCAACACCUGAGACUGCAAACAAGUGCAAAGCCUUGGUAUUUUGUAUUGAUCUGUGGAGAUAUUAGAUUUUUGUUUUCUAGGCUCCUCAUGGAAGUUCUUAGGAGACUGAUGUCAGAUGCUGUGAAUCAACUCGUGAAAGAUCACCUUAUGUGAUCUUCCAUUUUCUUUAUCUUGAGCAUCUUAAACAUCUAUGAAGAGCUAAUGUUUAGCCUCUGUUAUUUGUUUAGUACUCUGUGGUCAUCAGAUAAAAUGAUUGGAUUGCGAAUUAACUUGCAUUGUGCUGAUGCUCAUUAGAUCAAAACAGGAUAAACCUUUAUUGCAGGAAACUGUAUACCACUGUAGGUUCUCUAAAAGCUGACUGGUGAUGUGUUACCUACUGGCAAAUAUAUUGCAUAACUUGUUAGACAUACCUCUUUCAAUGUUCCUAUUUUGGUUGCAUCAACUGUAUAGUAUUGCAAAAUCAAUAUAAUUUUGAACCAAUAGCAUUGAGAAGUCCUUACGCAGAUGACUUUUGGUGGUCUAUAAUAAAUGAGAAUGACAGGUAGUUUAAACACUGCAUUUCAGGUACCUAACUAUAUAUCAAUUAACAGUCUAAAGAUGCUGAACAAGCCAAAGUGUUUGUCACCAUUGCAGAUACAUGCUCAGCUGUGCUGAUGUUUUCUUUAAUAAAUUCUUGCUCAAGGAGUCAACAAGCGUAUUCUAUAGUUCACAAAGUAGGUGGAGAACAAGAAGAAUAUAAUUAUGGUGUGCAGAAUCUCCUUGGGGCCCUUAACCAGCAGUUGCUCAUUUGCCCUCACAAUUAAGGAAUCAGCUUGCAAAUGGACGUGUACAUAAAAUUUCAAAUACAUCAAAGAGCUUGACAGUUCCAGACUUCAUUUACAAACAAGGCCUGUGAUCUGAAUCGUGUAACAAGGGAAGCAAAGUGAGAAAGCAUGAGGUUCAAGUCAACAAAUCAACAGUAACAUCAAGAUUUAUUGUAAAUUUAUAGUUAAAAAAAAAGUUGAAGUAUUUCUACUUUGCCAAAUCUGUAGUAAAAGGAAGCUACUUCCUUUUCUGCUUUAAAAGAAGAAAAAAACUCAGAAAGAGAUCAAUUCUAGAAACAGACUUCUAAACUUCUUCAUUUGAAAUCCAGUGACAAAAAAUUUAUCUUCCUCCCAGUUUAUGAAAGUAAAAAUUGAUUAAAAGUACAUUCCUAAGUUCCUUGACUCCUUUGUAAGCAUAUAACUGUUUGUACACUGAGUAAAUUUCAGUAAGGUUGUGUCCAGAAAUAAUGGGAAUGUUAAAUAAAAUGGAUGUCUGGCAGGCAGUGCAAGCUAUGGAAAUGCCAGGUACACAAUCUUUAUUGGGGCAUAAUCCUGAGCAUUCAUUGUUCUACUUGACUACUGCUUUCUUUUCAAACAGUUUUUGUUUUUUUUUUUUCCAUAAAACUUUGGUAACACACAAGUAAUUGUGAUCAGUAACAGAGACAUUUACCUUACUUAAACAUUCAAACUGUGCGCAUUAUUCAAGCUACUAAAUCUGUGAAACUUUGACCCUAGAAAAGAAGACAAUGUUCAUGGAGCUUAUGUUCUCCAGAUAAAUAUUUGUGUAAUGUACUUAGUGUGGUAACAUAAGGUUGCUGAAGACAAAGAAUAUUCUUCAGGUAGAAGAGUAUUUCUAAUAAUGGAAAUGGAUGACAAUCCCAUCUCUGUGCAGAUUGGGGUGGGAGGAGAGGUGGAUGAGACUAAGUGUGAAAUACUCAGUGCAAAUUCCCCAUAGCUUUUGAAUAUGCAGAGGUGUCAGUGAGAAUGUGUGGCUAUGGGAAUAUUUUUCAGAUGAUAAUUCUAGUGUUCUCAACAGUCUGUAUGUAGUCAGCCACCUGCAAAGCUUGUGAAAGAAGAAUGAAUAUGAAGUAAAUGUAAAAUGUAACCAAGGCCUAUUUACAAAAUGAAUUGGCAGAUUUCAUUUAGUUUGCUCUGGAGAGCUACUGCAAAUAUGUUCAUUCAAAAUUUCAUUUUAUUUAUGCUAAAAAAUCAGGCAGAUAAGCAAUAGAGAAGGAAAAAAUAAUAUUGUAAAGCACUAAUAUGUAACAUUUGACAGCCUGUAUUUUUAUAGCGUUGAUCAACUACUUCAUUCUUUGAUUUACUACUUUUUUUUCCUGUGCUAUAUGAUGUGACUACAUUGAGUAACUAGGAAUCCAAAUGAAGUUAGAGUAAUAGAUUGGUAGUUGACCAGAAAAUACCAUUAAUGUGCCACAACGGCUGUAUUAAAACAUAUGUGUUUUCAAAACAUGUUCAUUUGACAGGCAAUAUAAGUAAAACAGUCAUAUCACUUCUGAAUAUAUGAUAAAAUGAAGUAAAACUUAUUGCCAGUGUCUAAAAAAUACACUUAUUUUAUGAAGUAAUUUUACAGUAAGAUAAAACUUUUUUUUUUUUCUCAGAGAAGGAAAGUUAGAAACACAAUUAACUGUGGUCAAAAUAGAAACUUAAUCCUUCAAAUCAUGAAGGCCAGGAGCAUUUUUAACUUUAUCUCGGUGAGAAAACACUUCGGUGAAACACUGGAUGUGAGAUUCUGCUCUGAAAUGAUGAUAUAGCAUCAUUAGUCUCCUGUUCCCCUGUCACCUGAGACCUGUACCCAACUUGGGAAUACAGGCAGAAAUGUACUACAGCCCAUUAGGAUUUGCUUACAGUCUCUUACUUACACUGGAGCUAUAUUCAGUGUAUUUUUCAACGUAUAGGCUUUGCUGUUAGCACUGUGCCUGUGGGGAAAAUGUGUGCAACGUAGGGCUAGUGGGUAAAGUAAUAAGGAAAAAAAAAAAAAACAACAAAGUCUCAGUGUUUAACUGUGUUUUUAGAACCCAAAGAUCAUGAUUAUUGUCCUAAUAGUCAUAUUAACAAUGCACGCAUUCUAGCUUAGGAGGUAGCUGGAGUAUAAUUGUAAUAAAAUCUACUUUUAAUUGUUUAAUCACUUGACUUUAGUGAUGGGGGAUUUCAGAUCCUUUUGUAUAGACAUUAGAGAUGAUCUGGAAGUGCUCCACCAACUCCCAAUUUCAUCUUGCUCUCUUCUAUCCAGUCUGAUCUGACAACAAACUAUGACUUCAAGAACAGCUGAAGUUAAUGAUUGUUAGAAGGGGACAGUCUCACUUGUCCUUGCGUGUUUUCUUGUAGAUCCCAGUGCCUGUUGUAUACCUCACAGCAUAAUUAACUCAUCGGAUCAUUUCAGAUAAUUAUCCUCUUGUGUGUUUUUCCCCCUGCCUAAUGGUGUUGUGAAGGCUUAUUAAGGGAUUUAGUAAUCACUAGAAGGGUUUAAGGGGGAGAGAGAGAAUGUCAGUGUGAGGACCAGAGUCCUAUCCUUCUGGUGGCUACUAGGCUGUCUUGCUCAUCUCAAAAAACUGCUGCCAGAGAUUGCUAGGGUAUAAGUGAAUUGGACUUUUUUCAGCCCUGGAAACGGCAUUUCAGCUUGUGAAGUAGAAAGAAGAAAACAAAGAAUAUAAGGACCUCUUUCUGCCAUUUCCUUCUGGUGUCCUAAAACUUUUGUGAAUUGCCUUGAACCUCUAAUGGUUGUUUUCCCCUUUGAAGUCAUUCUUGUAUACUAGAAGUCUUCAAUCUUUGUUGUUGUUGUUGUUGUUGUUGUUUUUGUUUGUUUGUUUGUUUUGACUGCAUUUCUACUAAGAACUGAGUGACAACACUUUUGUACUGAAUGCCUUUUCAGUAUAAUCUGAAAGGCCUACCCUAAACUGUACUGCCUUAUUAGUCCCUGUUCAGGUAUUCCAAGAUAUGGUACACAACUCCAGUGUGUAUAGCACUGCAAACUGGGAGGAUUAACAAAAAUAGCAGGGAUAUUGCAGUUCUAGGGGAAGGAGCAAAGGCAAGGCUUUGCUGAAGCUGCUCUCCUCUUCCUCCACGCAGGCCUUAGACUGAGCAGUGCUGUAAAAUAUAUACAUUACUCUCUGAAAGGAAUUACGGCUGUUGCAUCCUAUGUGUGCAUCCCCACAGGAAUUUCAGUUUCUCCUUCUGUGAACUUGUCAUAUUGUUCCCUAGAAGUUAAUGGUAAUAAAUAAAAUUAAAAGAAAGUAGGAUACCUAAGGUCAGAGGUCUAUAUGGAUAUAUACAAGCCAUUUUUUUUGUCUUCAGAAGAAAAUGAGAGAAUGGAGAAUUGAAAUUAAGAGAAAAUACAGACUUUCAGGUGUAUGUGUGGUGUAUACUUAUUACAUAGCUCACAUGCUGCCUAGAAUUUGCAAUAUAAUACAAAAUAAUAAUUUAUCAACUAGGAAAGAAAGGGAGACAGGAACUCUGAAAUAGAUAUACUUUUAUCCUGACGGCAUAGUGAAUGUUAACUGAAUAAGGUGUCAGGAUGCUAAAAUACAGCCACAAAGCCAAUAGAUUUUAUUCACAUGCUUUGAUCCAUCUCUAGUGCUGCUUGAUGUUUGGUUAGAAAGCCUUCAUAAGCUAGAAGUGUUAUUUCUCUGGGGCUGUGGUUUUCUUUUAUUCUUGUCAGUCCCCAGAUACUACAGUGAAAUACAUAGAACUGUCACAUAGUGAAGUAUUAGGAAUGCGUAGUAUCUAUAUCCUACUUUGAAGAUAUUCCAGUGUUUCUUGGACUUUGAUCCAAGAGUUCCCCUCACAAGUAAACUCUACAAAUGUACUUUAUGUCUGUAUUUUGAAAUAACUCAUUUCAGACUAACUGCACUGUGUUAGAGGUAUUGAAGUCUCAUGGAGUGUGAGCUAUGUAAGGAAAAAACAUUCUAACAAUAGUUCAUUGGGAUUUUCUUUCAUUCAGUCCUUGUAAUUGAACUGUUAAACAGAACAAGAAAGGUACUUUUUGUUUGUGUUUCUCCAUUUGCAUCAGCUAAGAUGCAAAAUAAGUUGUGAGGUGUGUAGUUCUGAAACUAAUUCUUCAAUCUUAUUUUUUCCAAAACAAGGGCAAACAAGGUCACCCUUCUUAAGCAGCUGGAAAUCAAGCUGUAAUAAUGGACUUUGUUAGGUAACUCUUGUGCUUGAAGGAGUAAACAAACUUUGAAGAUGAAAGAAAAGGAAAUUAGGCUGCCUCAGAUACAUUGUGUCUUAGACAGGUGCAGCCUGUGGUGAAUCCUAGAGUCCUCCUCUCUCUUUCCUCCACAUAGGAGGGUGGUACCUUGCUCCCUGCAAAUUUGCAAGUCCAGAUUUUCUUCUGCUGGAAAUCAGGGUGGAUGUCUAGUCCUGUGUACUACUGCUUGUAAAAGACCAUCAUAUAACGUCUGCUGUGUCAGUGGGGCUGUGCGAAGAAGACUUCAUGACUGCUUUAAUGAGGUCAUCCUCAUUACAUUUCUCCAGGAAGAUUUUAUUUCCCUUUGGAAAUGGCGGUAUAGAGGUGGAAGACUUUUAUUUUUAUUUUUUAUUUUUAUUUUUUGCUUUUAGGGUCAGAUGUGAUCUUGGUAACUUUGGCAACUGUGAGUUCUUUCCAUGACUAUGAGAGGAACAGAGCAAGGAUGCGUGCCUGUUUCUCAUUGAAUUCUAGACUUAAGAUGUAACCAGAGCAUGCUGAGAAGCAGCCCAAGUUAGAUGACUCCUUUAGCUAGAUUCUUUAUAAUUUAGUAUUCAUUAUACAAUAGCUUCAGGUCUUUAUUUAAAAACUGACAGGAAUGCUGUUGGACUCCAUAUCCAAAAGACAACAGGUAGUAAUAAGGGUAGUGGUACGUAUAUUGCAUUAGCACAGAUUUUUCUUUUGCUCAUGUGACUGUAAACUAAAUGUUUGGUUGCCAUCAAAAUAAGAGAAAAGUACUGCUCAGGUUGAAACUACCCAUCCAAGCCAGGUGCCUUUAAAAUCCUCUGAAUACUGUUGCUGGGGAAAGAAGCAUAAGAUAAUUGAAAUAAUCUUUUUAAGGUUUUACACAUAGUUACUGAGAUUUUUAAUUUUUUUUUUUCAUCAUAUACUUUUUUACCUGAAAAGGUCUUGCAUUGCCUUCUACUUGUGGUAAAAUAUUCUUUUGUGCUCAUGUGUUUUUGAGCAUGUUUACUUGAAUUGAUGCUGCAGAAACACUUCCAAGCCAUGACAAGCUAAAUUUGCUUCUGAAGUAGUAAGAGAUAUCCUACUGCUAAGUCUUACAGUGUUAGACUGAAUGGAAGUGUUAACUGCAUAGUACUGUGUAGGACUUGUCAUAGGAUCACAGAGUGGUUGAGGCUGGAAAGGACCUCUGUAGAUCUCUUAGUCGAACUUUCAUAUUUGAGCAGUGUUAGCUAGGGCAGGCUGCCUAGGACUCUGUGCAGUUGGAUUUUGGAUAUCUUCGUAGAUGGAGUCUCCAGGACCUCUUUAAGCUACCUGUUUCAUCAUCCUUACAGUGGAAGAUGUGUUUUGUUCAAGUAGAAUUCAAUGUGUUUCUAUUUGUCCUGUUGGUGGUGACUAAUGAGAAGGGUCUGGCUCCCCUGACUCUGUUAUGAAUUUAUAGACAUCCUCCUGAGCCUUCUCUUUUUUGGACUGAACAGUCUCAGCUCUCUGUCUCUCCUCAUAUAAAAGAUGCUUAAUUGUCUUACUGAUGAUUCUCUGGAGUUGAUCCAGUAAGUGCAUAACUGAUAACUCUGUUAAGCUGAUUGAAUAAUUCUCUCUACUCAGUCCUUCUCUCUAAAACAAUUUAUUUUCUCUAUGGACAGAGUGUGUAGGUCAUCCAGAAGAGACUGACAGCCAUCCUAUGUGAACAUUUUACUAGACAACGCUGACAAUUGUACACUAUAUGUGUAGUAGAGCUUGUCCAAAAAUCCCAAAACACUUCUUAACCUACAGUCUGAAAUCUGUUUCUUUCUCUCACUACAAAUGUAAUCAAAGCAAAAUCUUCCCUUUCCCUUUGUUUUAAAGGGAACAAAAAUUUAUUUAAACUGUUCUGGGAUGUGUAUGUAUCAUGCUAUACAAGUAACUACAAAGUGAUCUCUUUAUGAUGAAAUACAAAUACCAAAAACAGAUGUUUUUGUUUUGUUUGUACCGAUUUCAAUAAACAUGAAAGAUGUCUCAAAAACUUAAGGAAGAACGGCACUUUCAUUACAUACAUAAAGACUUACUUAACAUUUUAAUGUUAAUUUUAAAUGAUUAAUUUUAAGCCUUCUGUCAUUCUGUCCCUGAAUGAUGUACAGUUUGCAUUGAAGUGAGGAGGAAAUAUAUGCAUAUGAAAUACCAAAGCAGGUUUGUAUCACUGACCUAUAGUUGAGAUUCAGUUUAUAAAUAAACUAGAUCAUGAUUGCAGGGUAAUAAUUUAUCUUCAUGUGCACAAAACCAACUCUCAAAAAAAAAAAAAAAAUCCAGUCAAGUUAGAAAAAUAUGUGGGAUAUGAAAAUUAUGGGAUUUUUAAUUGAAUAAAAUAUAAAGAUCCAAUUAAAAGUACAAGCAUACAAAUCCCUAAUUAAUUCAGCAAUGGCUGGCAAGGCAUUAAAGGCAUUAUGUUCACUCUUUACCCCACUAAUACCUUUCCUGCAAGAGUUAAAGAAUCAUUCUGCAGGACGUGGACAGGGUAAAUCACUGCAUAUCCAAUGAAAAGCCAAGAUGAUUUCCCUUGAUAGAAAAUUUUCACCUAAACUGUGUCUUUAAGAAACUGAAUAUAGCAGAACAAAGCAGUUUCAUUUCAAUUUUAGUUGAAUUCUUUAGUACUCAAUAAGUAAUGUCUCAUUACAAUCAAUAAACACUAUCAAGUUAUGUCUAUAUGUGGUGGUUUCACUGUGACGAACAGCUAAACCGCACCAUGACCAUUCUCUUAUUCCCACCUAGAAGAGAAUAGAAUGGAAAAGGGCUCAAAAGUAGAGAUACAGACAAGGAGAUCUAACAGACUAGAGCACAGGGAACUAAAAGCAAACUAAACACCAUCCACCCUUGUCUACCGAUCGUCUGUACUUAAUGCUUCAUCUCUGCUGUUCCUUCAUGGUCACUCUGAGCACUUCAUCGUUCAGGAACACACUGCUCCAGCCCUACCGCCCCACUGCAGGCCUCUUCUGGGCUGCAGGGACUGCUGCUCUGCACCCAGCACCUCCUGCCCUCCUCCUGUGCUGACCUGGGUGCCCUCAGGGCUGCUUCUGUCCCAUUACUUGCUCUUCUUUCCCAGCUACUGCAGCACAGUGCUUUUCACUUCCUUUGGUCUGCUCUCCCAGAGCGCACCCAGCCUUGCUCACAGCUCAGCUCUGGCAGCAGUGGGUCCCUUCGGAGCAGCGGGAGUUAUUCUGCUCUGCCAUGGGCAGUGCUGGGCUCUGCUCACAGUCCUCCUCUGUAGUCCUCUCACUAACAAAAUCUUGCCACGUAACCCAAUGCCAAGUAUAGUUGUCAUCCAAGGAAAAUGUAAAUAUUUUACUACCCAUUUAUGAAGACCAUUGUCAGUCUUGCUAAAUUGUAUAUUGUUUGGGAAAUAAGCUAUCACACACAUGCAUAGUGACAAACUGAACUUAAGCAAGCUCUGCUCAUUUAUGCCAGGAUAAAACAGAAAUAGAUUGUAGCUUAAGAUUUUAAAUGCAAAUGUGUUUUGUCCCUAAGGUGUAAUUUAAUAGAAGAACUGUAGAACUAGUAAAACAUACAGCUAUCUUAAGAAUACAAAGGGUAAGCAUGUCCAGCUGCUGGAAUGUAUGAAUAUCAGAAGUCAAAGUGCUUUGUGAUGUUUGCAUAGUACCUAACAUAAGUAAGUUUCACAGUACAGUGCUGAACGCAUAAGGUAUUUGAAAUUAGAAGUUCCUAUACUGCAAUUGAAUAGUUUAGCUCACAUUUUAUGGAAACUUCUUUCAAAAACACCAUAAAAUUAUACUUUGUAACCUCUUAUCUAAAGUAAACAAGAUUAAUGUCCACCUUAACAAAAACACGGAGUCUAAAUCUGUUGUGUGAUUUUCCACAAUGUUUUUCUAGUGGCACCAGAACAUCAGUUCUGAUACAUAGUUCCAAAUGCAGAUUGUCUUUUCAGAAUCAUGGUGGGGAAAUCUUUCAUUUUCACACACAGAUCUUAUUUCAAAAUCAUGUUAAAACAUUAUUACCUUACCAAUUUUAAAAGCGUAUAACUUUGGUGUUAUUGUGGAGUCCAAAUGUUCUUCAUCAUCAUGCUGCUAAAAUUCAUUAACUAUAAUAAUAAUAAUAAAAAAAGCUGGAAUUAAACGUUCAUUGAUAGAUUUCAGUAAAUCUACUGUCACAUCCUGAUGUUGUUCCUAUUUUUCUCUCCAUCACACACUGAUGAGUUCAGGUUGUAUCCAGUUCAAAUAGUUAACACACUAUAAUUGUCCUAAAUCUUGUUGUGUCUACUCAGUAUUGUAUGUUAAUGAUAUGGAGAAAUUUAAGACGCCUGUCAAAUGUGUAACUGUGCUUAAUGUCUUUCUCAGGAAUUCUGAGCUGGAAAGUAGUAUAGAUUUCAGUCUGAUAUUAAAACUUUCAAAUACCAGGUUAAAUUUAGUGUUGUUUUUUGUUGUUUUGUUUUUUUCCUCAUAAGAACCACAAUAUCUGUAUGGACAGACAACAUGCCCACAUCAGCAUGCAUAUGCAAGCACGGGUACAUGAGGAUGAAAGGAUGCCUGAAUGCCAUCGCUAUCUAUUUGAAAUCAUACUUUAGUACUUUGCAGACCAUAAAUACCCUUGAAGGAUUUUUCUC